ACUUCAUCACCAGCUAAUGAUCAACUACGUAGCCAAUAUACCUCGCUCGCACAUAGAUUCAGUCACCUGUAGCCCCUUCCGCCGACACUAUUUCCUCCUCGACAAAUUGAAUGAUCGAUUACGCAAAUUUCUGAAGGUCGUCUGAGCACAGUCCUUCAGCCUCAAGCGCAUCUAUAUAUUCGCCUGUGAGGCUUUCCAGUUCAGUUCGUCAUCUUAACAACCGCCGUUCGUUCGUUCAUCAACAAUAGCCGGUUGUCACCACUUGAUAUUGCUUCAACAGCUGUUCGUUCCUCUUCACUUUAACCUAAAGUCCUCCAAGUUGGCACUUGGCAGCACCACUACUCCAAUCGCCAGUUCAAACAGGCUUGAUGAUUCCACUGACAUCAUGAAGGACUGUGAAUGACUUCUUUCUACUAGGAAGAAUGUGGAGAAAAUUCAAGAAUCCCUUCAAAGCAGAGAGGGAAAGCACAAGGAAUGAGGAAGGGUGGUUAAAAAAUGACUUCAUGCCAUUACAGGUCAGAUCCAGCAUCAUCUCCAUUAUUAGUCUCAGAAUCUUUAACUUCAUAAAUUAGGUGGCAUUUCAUGUGUAUAUGAUUGAUUACCUAAAAUGUAAACAACAUAUCAUUUUUUUAGUUUUCUUAGUAAAAGCAGCUUAGAAUACUUUAAUUCUAUUAAAUUAAGUUUUUGUUUACAAAGUAA